AUGACGUAGGUGCGUACACGUGCAUCUGCCUCAAGAAAUAGUCGGAAAUCGAUUAUCUCCUAAAUGGGUGGUUACACACGUUUAAUUCCCGAGUUGAGGAUACAUGGCAUGAUUAGUAGUGGGGUAAGGCACAGGGAUGAUCAUAGGGACUGAAGGUUGAUCCCAAUGGACUGAGAUACGGGCCAAAUUCCUACGGGAGGCAGCAGUAGGGAAUAUUGGACAAUGGGUGCAAGCCUGAUCCAGCCAUGCCGCGUGCAGGAAGAAGGCCUUCUGGGUUGUAAACUGCUUUGCCAGGGGAUAAACGACCGUGCGCGGUUAAUUGAGGUACUGGUGAAUAGCCACGGUUAACUACGUGCAGCAGCCGGGUAAUACGUAAGUGGCAAGCGUUGUCCGGAUUCAUGGGUUAAGGGUGCGUAGGCGGCCUGGUUAAGUCCAGUGGGUUGAAAUUACGGGGAAGCUCAAACCGGUCCGAGGGUGCCAUUUGAUACUGGGGACUUGAAGUACCUGGAUGAGGGUAAGGGCGGAAUGGACCGGUGUUCAGCGGUGAAAUGGUUAGAUUUUCGGUCCCAGAAAAACACCGAUNGCGAAAGGCAGGUUUAC
rnacentral:rRNA from 1 species